CUUGACCAACACUGGAGCAGGUUCCGAUAUAUUCAGGAGCCAGUUCAUGCCCAGUACUUACCAACGAGUCGAUCAGUGGCGAAGGGAAUAUCCUUAAAAAAGUACUGUACAUGUACAGUGUGCAACAGAACUGACCGACUGGCUAUUGGAGAGAGGAUAAGUAAAAGUAAGUAAACCAACAGUAUGGCAAGUCCAGGCUCUGCCGAGAGUGAUGAAUACUUGAGGAAAGUUAAUGAAUUGUUAGCAAACCUUGAGGAGUGCUGCACAAAGGAUGAAGACCAGAAUCCUGAAAAGGAAGUUAUCCAGUACUUGGAUUCAUUCGACGAACCUGUGCAUAAUGAAGUCAACCACCUUAUUCGCUGCAGUAAUAGUGUGUCUCAUGUCUCGGCCAUCAAUCACACCCUAGGACAAAAGGACUUCGAGGCCUUUAGUCAGACCCCAUGCCAGGAUUCUUCGCAGUUGGUGGCUAGCAAUCAGAUUUCAUAUACAACUAUAACUCAGCCACAUUUGUCUGGUGCUGGCAAGACCCUACACAAGAUCUCACAAGAAGGAGGUGUGUCAUCACCAAGAGCAAUAGUGACAUAUACCUUGCAAGGUGAGCAGAAGAGGAUUGAAGUUGUACCUGACUCGUUGACUCUUGGGUCACAAGAGAAGGUUGGUGGAAACUCACUUGUACCAAAAGAGCCACAACCGAGUUGCAGUAAAAGAGAUUAUAGCAGUACUUGUGAUAAACCCAACAAAAAGAUAAAACUGCAUGAAAUUAAAGACCCAUAUGAAGAUAAAGAAGAAGAACAGCGAAGAGUAAAUGCCAUCAAUCAAUUUGAGUAUCGACAGAAACAAAAGAAAUAUAAGCAAGAACUGGAGGAGAAUUUGAAGCUAAAGACUCGUGAACUUGACAAUGAAAUACAGAAAAGGAAAGAUGUAGAAGCACAAUUAAUUAACAUUAUCAAGGAAAGAGACAUGCAAACAUACACAAUUAAUAUGCUGCAGGAGCAGUUGAAGACCAAAGCUGAGGAGUACAUAUUCCUCUUGAAACGUUUACUACCAAGUCAAAUGACCCAGUAGAAGCCUUUGUGACUGGUCCAGAUUGAAGAGAUGGAGCAGCUACUUGGGGACUAUCAACACCUGUUCAGUGAUGUUCCACAACCUUGCAGUCUGGUGGAACUUAAUGUCGUCCAGGUGGGAGAUCCGGCACCCACCAAACAAACUCCUUAUCGAAUGAGUCCCAGCAAGAAACAAUCCAAGAUGCAUUCCUCUAUGCUGGUAUUUUUGCUGGUUGUGGCUGUUGCUGCUGCUGCCCCUGCUGCCCCAGGAGCUGCUGGGGGCAUUCCUCCAGCUGUGAAUGCCUUCAUCCCAGCAGCUGCAAAGGCAUUCAUACCUUCACCUGAGGACAUUAAAGCCUUGGCUGCCCUACACACCACUGCUGCCCCUCCACCAGGUGCUCCAGCUCCUGCAUCAUUUAAAUUCGCCGCCUAAACUCCUCCAUCACAUUCUUCCGUACGCCCCAAGAAGUUCACAUUCCAUCCAUCUAUCUUUAUCUUCGGUGAUCCUGAACCGGUUUGCUUUAUGUUCCCACCUAUUACCUUCCUUUGUGAUCUACAAGAUAAUGAAUGUCUCCUGUGGUCUACAAGAUGAUGGAUGUCUCCUGUGGUCUACAAGAUGAUGAAUGUCUCCUGUGGUCUACAAGAUGAUGGAUGUCUCCUGUGGUCUACAAGAUGAUGAAUGUCUCCUGUGGUCUACAAGAUGAUGAAUGUCUCCUGUGGUCUACAAGAUGAUGGAUGUCUCCUGUGGUCUACAAGAUGAUGAAUGUCUCCUGUGGUCUACAAGAUGAUGAAUGUCUCCUGUGGUCUACAAGAUGAUGGAUGUCACCUGUGGUCUACAAGAUGGUGACUCAUUAAUGUUGUCUAAAAGAAGUCUAACAUCAUUCAUCACUGUCCUCACUGCUUGUAAAAGAAUGUGACGAACAUUUAGCUCUCCUUAUCACUGUCCCUAGAGGUCUCUUGCUAGUUUUCUGACAUUUAAGUCAAUGCCAACAUGUGCAUAAUUAAAAUUAAUGUCACAAGUCUUUGAAUGUUACUGAAAAUACUUUUGUUAUACAGUACUGAAGGUUUUAUUGAAAAUGUGUUCUUAAGCAGUAUUUGUAACUUUUAUGGUCAGUAAAGAAAAUUAAGUUA